rnacentral:lncRNA from 1 species
UGCAGAUCAAGAUGCCCUGAGGGCAAAGAGCAGAGGGGUGCUCUCUGGUGGCCCAGCAGUUCUGCCCCAGGGGAGAGGUUUCUCUUUUACUACCGCGAAAACCCACAGGACGCUGCUUCAUCCCAGAGCCAAGGAUACCAGGAAGGAAGGUCAGAGUGAGGAGGUGUCUGAGUGUUUCAGAUCACACAGUGACAUACUGCUUGAUGGCUUCAGAAAUCCUUCAUGAGCUGGGAGACAGCCCCAGAGGUGACAGUUUCUACAAGAGCAGUCUGAAAUGCCACCUCCCAAGAAACCUCCAUGCAACUUCCCAAGCAGAAUGAGUCACCCCCUCUUCUGCCCUUUCAUAGCCCCAACCAUCUCGAGGACAACACAUCAGCAGCAGCAGCCACGUAGAUGUUUGUUUCUGUACCUGGAUUCUAAGUGCCUGAAGGACUGGACAUAUCUGGUUUCUAAGUUCCAGGAGGACUGGACACAUCCAUCACCCACGUGUAAACCCAGCA